GAGAACUUGUCCUUUGUGUAGAGCCUUGGUCAGACCUGCUGAUCUAAGAUCUUUUGGAGAUGGAUCAACUAGCCUUUUAUUCCAGUUAUUCUAAUAUUGAUAUUACACCCCCGAUACCAUUUUGAAAGAAAGAAAUGUCCCAUGUUACAACAAGCGAAUGUCUGCUAGUACCAUUUCUCCUCAACUUGGUCUGUUAGAGAGUUAUAACAUCACCUGUUUAGGUUGCCUCCCAUGAAGAUGUUGUGUAAAACGGAGCUUCUUU
rnacentral:misc_RNA from 1 species